UCCCUGAUGGUCUAAUGGUCAGGAUUCAGCACUCUCACCGCCGCGUGCCGGGUUCGAUUCCCGGUCAGGGAA
rnacentral:tRNA from 1 species